rnacentral:rRNA from 1 species
UACGGAGGGGGCUAGCGUUAUGCGGAAUUACUGGGCGUAAAGCGCACGUAGGCGGAUCUGCAAGUCAGAGGUGAAAUCCCAGGGCUCAACCUUGGAACUGCCUUUGAAACUGCGGGUCUUGAGUUCGAGAGAGGUGAGUGGAAUUCCGAGUGUAGAGGUGAAAUUCGUAGAUAUUCGGAAGAACACCAGUGGCGAAGGCGGCUCACUGGCUCGAUACUGACUCUGAGGUGCUAAAGCGUGGGGAGCAAACAGG